rnacentral:rRNA from 1 species
UCAAGAAACUUCCACAAUGGGCGAAAGUCUGAUGGAGCGACGUCGCGUGAUGGACGAAGUGCUUCGGCACGUAAACAUCUUUUAUGUGGGAUGAAAUUAUUGACAGUACCACAUGAAUAAGGGGCUCCUAACUCUGUGCCAGCAGGAGCGGUAAUACAGAGGCCCCAAGCGUUAUCCGGAAUCACUGGGCGUAAAGGGUGUCGAGGCGGUUGUAUUAGUCGUUCGUAAAAUCUACGAGCUUAACUUGUAGGCGGCGAACGAAACGGUACGACUUGAGGUUUGGAGAGGUGCGUGGAACUCACGGUGUAGGGGUGAAAUCCGUUGAUAUCGUGGGGAACACCAAAGGCGAAGGCAGCGCACUGGCCAAAAUCUGACGCUCACACACGAAAGCUAGGGUAGCGAAGAGGAUUAGAUACCCCCGUAGUCCCUGAGCGGGCUGGCAAGGCGCAU